AACGUAGGUGGCGAGCGUUAUCCGGAUUUACUGGGCGUAAAGCGUGUGCAGGCGGGGGUACAAGUGGUGUAUGAAAUCGCCCGGCUUAACCGGGCUCUGUUAUGCCAGACUGUACCUCUGGAGUGCGGGAGAGGGGCGUGGAAUUCCGGGUGUAGUGGUGAAAUGCGUAGAGAUCCGGAGGAACCCCAGAGGCGAAGGCGGCGCCCUGGCUCGCAACUGACGCUCAGACACGACAGCAUGGGGAGCGAACGGG
rnacentral:rRNA from 1 species